rnacentral:rRNA from 1 species
CCUACGGGUGGCUGCAGUGGGGAAUAUUGGACAAUGGGCGAAAGCCUGAUCCAGCCAUGCCGCGUGUGUGAAGAAGGCCUUCGGGUUGUAAAGCACUUUCAGUGGGGAAGAAAGCCUUGGGGCUAAUACCCUCGAGGAAGGACAUCACCCACAGAAGAAGCACCGGCUAACUCCGUGCCAGCAGCCGCGGUAAUACGGAGGGUGCGAGCGUUAAUCGGAAUUACUGGGCGUAAAGCGCGCGUAGGCGGUCUGAUAAGCCGGUUGUGAAAGCCCCGGGCUCAACCUGGGAACGGCAUCCGGAACUGUCAGGCUAGGGUGCAGGAGAGGAAGGUAGAAUUCCCGGUGUAGCGGUGAAAUGCGUAGAGAUCGGGAGGAAUACCAGUGGCGAAGGCGGCCUUCUGGACUGACACUGACGCUGAGGUGCGAAAGCGUGGGUAGCAAACAGGAUUAGAUACCCCGGUAGUC